rnacentral:lncRNA from 1 species
UGCUAUUCUGCCUUGAUGUGCACAUAAAGAGUUCCUGGACCUGACAUGAAGCAAGGAUACCUAUGGCUGCAAGCCAACAAUAUCUGAAGACAGGUGUUGCUUGUCUAUGUUCUCAGCAUAGCUAUAGGCUGCCAUGUCUUUUUCACUUUCCUUUUCGCUUUGUGUAAUGCUAACUUGAUGGUCAGCCUAUAGUUAUGCGAAGAACAUCGGCAAGCAGCACCUGUCUUCAGACAUACAAUGCCAUGUCUUGUUCCAUUAAUCACCUAGUGCUCCUGUUAGUGACAUUCAUCUAGUAUUUUAUUUUGCAAAGCAUGCAAUGGUUUGGAGUACUUGAUCAUGGCCUGAUGGAACCUACAUGUCAUUACUACAACAACUAGAAGCAAUCCAUUUUAUUAAAAGCAUUCUGGUUAGCAUUUGGUCAUGGCAUCACCUUGCUGUUCUGUUUGUUUUAAAUCUGGUUACAAGUUUACUAUUUUCCAUAACCAUUAUCUUACAUUUUUGGCAUUGAGCGUUGGUGGAUCUCAACAACUAUAUGAUGAAUACACAUCAUGAUAUAUACUUGAUGAAUCUGCCUGCUACAUCUCAACUUGUGUAUCUGUUUUGGUAUCUCUUGCGCUGUGUAUCUGUUUUCUUGUAUGAGUGGGUAUCUCAUUUUAACUAGUUGGAGAACAAAAAGCAUGGUACUAGCUAGCUCAAUUUGUGUUAUCAUUCUAAACAAAUGUCAUUUUCUUGAAUGGUCUGUUCAUAAUAUAUUUUCAUGUCAAGUUUCGCCAGCGCGAGGCAAGCGACCGAGGUGGCUGCUGCUGUGACCGAAGAUUAGAAGAAGCUUGGAGAUGUGCACAAUAGUUUUGGUGCCUCUGUAUUUGUUUCUGAUUGUAUGUACACUUGAUGGAUCAUGCAGAUGUGCUGUUCUGAGUUUCAUAGAGUGAUUUUUGGAUUUGAUCAUUUAAUUGUGAGAAUUAUUGAUUGUUUGCUGUUGAAAUGUGUAAAAUUGAAAUCUGUGAA